rnacentral:tRNA from 2 species
UCUUCGGUAGUAUAUCGGAUAGUACACCCGCCUGUCAUUACUGGAUUAUUGUCAUGUACUCGCGGGAGAGCGGGGUUCGACUCCCCGCCGAAGAG